rnacentral:rRNA from 1 species
GCGAAAACUUUACAAUGCUGGCAACAGCGAUAAGGGAACCUCGAGUGCCAGGUUACAAAUCAGGCUGUCGAGAUGCCUAAAAAGCACUUCAUAGCAAGGGCCGGGCAAGACCGGUGCCAGCCGCCGCGGUAACACCGGCGGCUCGAGUGGUAACCGUUAUUAUUGGGUCUAAAGGGUCUGUAGCCGGCCGGAUAAGUCUCUUGAGAAAUCUGGCAGCUUAACUGUCAGGCUUUCAGGAGAUACUGUCUGGCUCGAGGCCGGGAGAGGUGAGAGGUACUUCAGGGGUAGGGGUGAAAUGUUGUAAUCCUUGAAGGACCAAGAGAGGCGAAGGGGUCUCACUAGAACGGACCUGACGGCAAGUGACGAAAGCUAGGGGCACGAACC